rnacentral:rRNA from 1 species
GAUGAACGCUGGCGGCGUGCUUAACACAUGCAAGUCGAACGGAAAGGCCGAAGCUUGCUUCGGUACUCGAGUGGCGAACGGGUGAGUAACACGUGGGUGAUCUGCCCUGUACUUCGGGAUAAGCUUGGGAAACUGGGUCUAAUACCGGAUAUGACGAUCUCUUGGAUGGGGUUGUGGAAAGCUUUUGCGGUAUGGGAUGAGCUCGCGGCCUAUCAGCUUGUUGGUGGGGUAAUGGCCUACCAAGGCGUCGACGGGUAGCCGGCCUGAGAGGGUGUACGGCCACAUUGGGACUGAGAUACGGCCCAGACUCCUACGGGAGGCAGCAGUGGGGAAUAUUGCACAAUGGGAGAAAGCCUGAUGCAGCGACGCCGCGUGGGGGAUGACGGCCUUCGGGUUGUAAACUCCUUUCGCAAUCGACGAAGCCUUUUGGUGACGGUAGGUUGAGAAGAAGCACCGGCUAACUACGUG